rnacentral:rRNA from 1 species
GAUGAACGCUGGCGGCGUGCUUAACACAUGCAAGUCGAACGGUGAACACGGAGCUUGCUCUGUGGGAUCAGUGGCGAACGGGUGAGUAACACGUGAGCAACUUGCCCCUGACUCUGGGAUAAGCGCUGGAAACGGCGUCUAAUACUGGAUACGAGUAGCGGCCGCAUGGUCAGUUACUGGAAAGAUUUUUUGGUUGGGGAUGGGCUCGCGGCCUAUCAGCUUGUUGGUGAGGUAAUGGCUCACCAAGGCGUCGACGGGUAGCCGGCCUGAGAGGGUGACCGGCCACGCUGGGACUGAGACACGGCCCAGACUCCUACGGGAGGCAGCAGUGGGGAAUAUUGCACAAUGGGCGAAAGCCUGAUGCAGCAACGCCGCGUGAGGGAUGACGGCCUUCGGGUUGUAAACCUCUUUUAGCAGGGAAGAAGCGAAAGUGACGGUACCUGCAGAAAAAGCGCCGGCUAACUACGUGCCAGCCGCCGCCGUAA